rnacentral:rRNA from 1 species
GAUGAACGCUAGCGGCAGGCUUAACACAUGCAAGUCGAGGGGUAGAAAUAGCUUGCUAUUUUGAGACCGGCGCACGGGUGCGUAACGCGUAUGCAAUCUGCCUUGUACUGGGGAAUAGCCCGGAGAAAUCCGGAUUAAUGCCCCAUGGUAUUUUUGUGUGGCAUCACACGAUUAUUAAAGAUUUAUCGGUACAAGAUGAGCAUGCGUCCCAUUAGUUAGUUGAUGUGGUAACGGCACACCAAGACGAUGAUGGGUAGGGGUCCUGAGAGGGAGAUCCCCCACACUGGUACUGAGACACGGACCAGACUCCUACGGGAGGCAGCAGUGAGGAAUAUUGGUCAAUGGGCGCAAGCCUGAACCAGCCAUGCCGCGUGCAGGAUGACGGCCCUAUGGGUUGUAAACUGCUUUUAUACGGGAAGAAACACCUCUUCGUGAAGAGGCUUGACGGUACCGUAAGAAUAAGGAUCGGCUAACUCCGUGCCAGCCGCCGCUGUAACAC